AGUGAACGCUGGCGGUAGGCCUAACACAUGCAAGUCGAACGGCAGCACAGUAAGAGCUUGCUCUUACGGGUGGCGAGUGGCGGACGGGUGAGGAAUACAUCGGAAUCUACUUUAUCGUGGGGGAUAACGUAGGGAAACUUACGCUAAUACCGCAUACGACCUACGGGUGAAAUCAGGGGAUCUUCGGACCUUGCGCGAUUGAUUGAGCCGAUGUCGGAUUAGCUAGUUGGCGGGGUAAAGGCCCACCAAGGCGACGAUCCGUAGCUGGUCUGAGAGGAUGAUCAGCCACACUGGAACUGAGACACGGUCCAGACUCCUACGGGAGGCAGCAGUGGGGAAUAUUGGACAAUGGGCGCAAGCCUGAUCCAGCCAUACCGCGUGGGUGAAGAAGGCCUUCGGGUUGUAAAGCCCUUUUGUUGGGAAAGAAAAGCAGCAGGUUAAUACCCCGCUGUUCUGACGGUACCCAAAGAAUAAGCACCGGCUAACUUCGUG
rnacentral:rRNA from 1 species